rnacentral:rRNA from 1 species
AACGUAGGGGGCGAGCGUUAUCCGGAUUUAUUGGGCGUAAAGAGUUCGUAGGCGGUUUGUUAAGUCUAAGAUUUAAGCCCGGAGCUUAACUCCGGUUCGUUUUAGAAACUGGCAGACUUGAGUGUGGUAGAGGCAAGUGGAAUUUCUAGUGUAGCGGUUAAAUGCGUAGAUAUUAGAAGGAACACAGUGGCGAAGGCGGCUUGCUGGGCCAUUACUGACGCUGAGGAACGAAAGCGUGGGGAGCAAAUAG